CCUACGGGAGGCUGCAGUGGGGAAUAUUGCGCAAUGGGCGAAAGCCUGACGCAGCGACGCCGCGUGGGUGAUGAAGGCCUUCGGGUUGUAAAGCCCUGUCGGGUGGAACGAACGAUCUGGCGGCGAAUAACCGCCGGGUGUGACGGUACCACCGAAGGAAGCCCCGGCUAACUACGUGCCAGCAGCCGCGGUAAGACGUAGGGGGCGACUGUUGUUCGGACUUGCUGAGGGGAAAACGCACGUAGGUUGUGAAAUCCCUCGGCUUAACCGAGGUGCCGCAUCCGAUACUGUCUGGCUCGAGUCUAGGAGAGGAAAGAGGAAUUCCCAGUGUAGCGGUGAAAGGCGUAGAUAUUGGGAGGAACACCGGUGGCGAAGGCGGCUUUCCGGACUAGUACUGACGCUGAGGCGCGAAAGCUAGGGGAGCGAACGGGAUUAGAUACCCUAGUAGUC
rnacentral:rRNA from 1 species